GCCACCCCAUUUCCCUCUCGUUCGCGCACCAAAACCCGACCAUAACCACGGCAACUCCGCCCCCUCCUCCUCCCCCCUUCAUCUGUCGACCCCACCGCCGUUAGCACGCGUCGGAUCUGGGCAUUGGACGUCGGUACGCGGCCCCGACGGAUCUACGCGGCGGCGGCGGCCAGGGAGGAGCCGCGGCCGAGGUUACCCAAAACCCUACCCUAGCUCUUGUCGGCAAUGUCGGAUUGGGUUUGACCUCUCGCUUUGAUGGGGGCCUUGCAGGCAGCGGUGAAGAGUUGUUCCAGGCGGCGACGGGUGGAGAUCCUUCAGCGCAGUGGGACGACCAGAGUCCAGAGCCAACCCAACCCAACCCCUAGAAGAAAGAGGUUUCGUGCUGAAGAUUUGUUGUUCCCACGCGGCAACGGGCAGAGACACAUCGACCCAUCCCGAACCAACACGGAUAAGAGAGUAAACCUAAGGUGAAGACUGAAGGCGUGCUAUUUGUGACACAGCAAAAAGACAAGGAAGAUCUGUGGGUUAUCCUUCCUUUGCUCCACCGCCCCCUGCCUCCCCACGCCUUUGCCUUUGCCACCAGCGGCUCUCUCAGAUGGCUCGCAUGACCAAGACCAAGGCCAAGGCCAAGGCAAAGGGCGCAAGCAAUGAAACAAAGCACACCAACAACACAGAGUGGCAUGAAUCUGAAAAGGAUUAUGUUUCAUUCGAUCUCGAUCUUCGCCCAGAGUAUUACGAAGAAAGUCACAGCAAGUUGAUGGAUGCUAUCAUAGCUCUCCUAGAGAAGGAGGCGAAUAACGAGAACAAGGGACUGCCUAAAGGCGAGCAAAAGCCGACCAAGGUUAAUGGAAGGGUGUACACGGCAGCAGGUGGUGCAUUUUUGGUACGCCUGCUGCUGGAUGAUCCUAAGAAGGAGGUUGUUACCCUUCUGUAUGGUCUGAAGGAUCUUUACUUAAAAGGAUGGAACG